rnacentral:rRNA from 1 species
AUUGAACGCUGGCGGCAGGCCUAACACAUGCAAGUCGAGCGGAUGAGAGAAGCUUGCUUCUCGAUUCAGCGGCGGACGGGUGAGUAAUGCCUAGGAAUCUGCCUGGUAGUGGGGGACAACGUUUCGAAAGGAACGCUAAUACCGCAUACGUCCUACGGGAGAAAGCAGGGGACCUUCGGGCCUUGCGCUAUCAGAUGAGCCUGGGUCGGAUUAGCUAGUUGGUGAGGUAAUGGCUCACCAAGGCGACGAUCCGUAACUGGUCUGAGAGGAUGAUCAGUCACACUGGAACUGAGACACGGUCCAGACUCCUACGGGAGGCAGCAGUGGGGAAUAUUGGACAAUGGGCGAAAGCCUGAUCCAGCCAUGCCGCGUGUGUGAAGAAGGUCUUCGGAUUGUAAAGCGCUUUAAGUUGGGAGGAAGGGUUGUAGAUUAAUACUCUGCAAUUUUGACGUUACCGACAGAAUAAGCACCGGCUAACUCUGUGCCAGCCGCCGCAGUAAGAC